ensembl:lncRNA
GGGGAAUUAGGGAAUGAGAGUAUCUGUGCGGAGAUCAAGGCGUGUGUAUGUGUGUAUGAGUGUGUGUACGUGUGUGUGUGUAUUUGUGUGGGUACGUGUGUGUGUGUGUGUAUGAGUGUUAGUUUGUGAAGCAUGUUCACUUGGAAGUUUGAGAGUUUCAAUGCACCGGAGUUGUAUGUGUGCUGGGGAAUUAGGGAGUGAGAUUGCUGCAUCUAUGGGGAGAUCAAGGCUAUAGAUGUGUGUGUCUACGCUCCUUCGACUGUGUGUGAGAGUCUGAAUAAGCAUGGGGGGUAGUGUGUGUGUGUGUGUGUGUGUGUUGAUGGGCAUGGGAGGGUUUGUGUAUGCAUGUGCGUGUGUGGAUGCGGGUAGGCAUGUGGGGGGUGGUGUGUAUACUUGUGUGUGUGUGUGUGUGUGUGUGUUGGGAGGGGGGUUGGGAGUGAAUUUAGGCAUCUUAAUUGCGCCGUUUCUCCUCGGCUGGUGGCAGGCGUAAAUGGCUCUCCCCAGGGAGCCGCUGAUCCACUUUCUGAUCUGCCGAAUCCGGCGCCGAGAGACUGAUCAAAAACCGCGCGCCGGCCUAGAUGCUUCAAACGUGCCGGGGACUGCAUCCCGUCGUUGUCACUGCCGCGCGGAGCAGCGCGGAGCGGAAGUUUGAAUUAUAGAAUUGAUGUAGAUUCUGUUUUUUUUAUUUCUUUUCUGCAUUCGUUUUUUUUUUUUUUUUAAAGAAACGAAGAUGGAAGAUUUAAGAGAGAGAGAGAGAAUGAAGAAAGAAGGCAAUGGGAAAUAGAAAAGUGGAGAGGGAAAAAGAGAGGGAGUGUGUUCAUGUGUGUGCGUGUGUGUGUGUGUGUAUGUGUGUGUGCAUGAUGACCGGCUGCAUGAAUAGAUAAUGACUCUUUUUCUGAUGCCAGGCGUGCGCUGGUGGCGUGUGUUCUACGUCGUGAGAUGCAGCGCAGAGGGACUGACCUCCACCCACGUCUCCCAGGUUGGGAAACGGCUUUCAUCCUCAUUGCCAAAUAACAGCCUACUGUUGUGUGGAGCUGGCCCUGAUC